rnacentral:rRNA from 1 species
CCAACAAAGGCCUUUACUGACGCUAAAGCUCGAAGGUGCGGGUAUCGAAACAGGAUUAGAUACCCCUGGUAGUCCGCACGGUAAACGAUGGAUGCCCGCUGUUUGCGAUAUACUGUGAGCGGCCAAGAGAAAAUCGUUAAGCAUCCCACCUGGGGAGUACGCCGGCAACGGUGAAACUCAAAGGAAUUGACGGGGGCCCGCACAAGCGGAGGAACAUGUGGUUUAAUUCGAUGAUACGCGAGGAACCUUACCCGGGCUUGAACUGCAGGCGAACGAUACAGAGAUGUUGAGGCCCUUCGGGGCGCCUGUGGAGGUGCUGCAUGGUUGUCGUCAGCUCGUGCCGUGAGGUGUCGGCUUAAGUGCCAUAACGAGCGCAACCCUUUUCAUUAGUUGCCAUCAGGUAAUGCUGGGCACUCUGGUGAUACUGCCACCGUAAGGUGUGAGGAAGGUGGGGAUGACGUCAAAUCAGCACGGCCCUAACUUCCGGGCGGACACACGUGUUACAAUGGGAGGUCAAGAGAGUCGGUCCAUGGCAAUAACCUCUAUCCUAAAGCCUUCCUCAGUUCGGAUUCGACCUGCAACCACCCCAUCAGCGGAUCG